rnacentral:rRNA from 1 species
GGCUGUUCGCCCAUUAAAGCGGCACGCGAGCUGGGUUUAGAACGUCGUGAGACAGUUCGGUCCCUAUCCGCCGCGCGCGUAGGAUACUUGAGGAAGGCUGUCCCUAGUACGAGAGGACCGGGACGGACGAACCUCUGGUGUGCCAGUUGUUCUGCCAAGGGCAUGGCUGGUUGGCCACGUUCGGAAGGGAUAACCGCUGAAGGCAUCUAAGCGGGAAGCCUGUUCCAAGAUGAGGUAUCCCACCCCUUUGUGGGUUAAGGCCCCCAACAGACCAUUGGGUUGAUAGGCCAGAAAUGGAAGCACAGUAAUGUGUUGUCGAGUUGACUGGUACUAAUAGGCCGAGGACUUGCCUACAA